ACAUGUAUAAAAUCUCAGUUGUGGGUAUCAACCGUUUCCACAUUUGUAACACAACCCCUUAUACAUUAUGUGUGGGACAGGCGGGCAUAUCUACACCGGUGGUCGCUACCAGGUGAAACUCUGUCUACCUGUAGCAGCCGGUACACAGUACGGCGCUAUAAAUACGCGCAGAGCGCGACCGCCAGCAACUCGAGUGACCUUUUCAGCGGUCAGCUGCUACAUUUUGGUAUCGACGAUCAUUUGUUCGGUCCUCGCCUCACAUAGCUAAGACUAAGGCUGUUUCUUUGAGCGAUGCUAAGCACGUUCCUAUUCCGCGACCGAAGUCUAAGACUACGGCGCAAAUUCCUGCCGAUGCUACAACCGCUUCGGACCCACUUCGCGUUGCGAAAAUUAACAAGCGCAAAUUAAGGAAACAAUCCUUCGCUUCGCUUCGUAAAUACCUUUCCUCUGUCCCUGUUGAUAACGACAUUCAGGACACGAUGACGCCAACUGAUAACGUGGCGACUGCCCUCGACACUACUGGCAAUGAUGCGGUUGACGCGACGACGGAAGUUCCCAAAGCCAAAGCGCCUGGCACUUUGCCAGCGCAUUUGGUUGAAACUUUACGACAGUCAGUGCCGAACCGCGUCGGCGCCUUGGAGCGUUCCCUGGAAGGAACGCACCAGGAGAUGGCAGAACUGCGUGACGACAUUAUAUCGUUACGAAAUUCUUCACAGCGUGUGGAGACGCAACUCCAGGAGUUACUCUCCAAGCUGUCAACGCCCUCAAGCCCACCACCUCCCAAUCCACGGUCCGUGGCCAUUUGCAAGAUUAUCAAGCAAGUGGCUGCGUCUUCCUUGGCUGGCAUUUUGUCAAAAGAGAGUCUUCAGGUUACCGCUUUCCAGGCGGCCCUGGACUCCCUGACGAUAGAGCCGGAGGUCACCCUGGAGGAGGUCCGGAAACUUUGGGACACCGGUGCGGUGGAGAGCGGCCCUGGCGGUAGCGCUACGGACUCCGACUCCGUGCGGCCUGCGCUACAGCCCACGGGCAAAACGCCGCGUACCGAGGUGAGUACGCAGAAACGCGUUCCGCUUCCCCCAAAAUUUUCGGGAAAAAGGGAUACGCAUAUUACUUGCACCUGAUCGUGGUUCGAGUUCCUUUUGCAAUACUUAGACUUAAUGCAAAUGGACCCGUUAGAGCACUUUGUCUACUUCGUAUUGGGCAAAGCUCUAGUCUGGGCCACGGACAUUUUCGGGGAGCACCGAUCGGGCAAGAAGCUUUUGACGCGUGAUUCUUUACGUGCUGCCUUUUUGUUGCAAUAUGGCGAUACGCAACGCAACAUGGCUAUGGCCGCUCGCGAUAGGUUGCAUGCGAACGAACACGCCAUGAAAGCAACUGAAACAGUGCCCGAAUAUACUCAACGUUUUCACGAUAUAAUUCGUGAAGCGAAAGAUAUGAACCCUAGCGAUCAAAUCGGCUGGUACGUUAAGGGGUUACUACCACCUUUGCGCAGCCGGUGUGCGACAAGCGAAGAGGGCAAAGAUUGGGACAGCUUAGAUAAGCUAAUCCUUUACGCUGUUGGGCAAGAGGUUCGGUGGCAGUCGGGCAAAGACAAGCCUACCGUCCAUGCAGUUAGCGCUGACCUUAAUGCGAUCACUGCUAAAAAGCCCUUCAAUAAAUUUAAGCGUUCGUCCUCUGAUCGCAAUUCGCAGGGUUGGCAACCCGCCAAUCGGCCCAAGAAGGCGCGUCUGGAGCAAGAACAGCUGGCGGCACACACUUGCCGCAAAUGCCGUCGCGUGAAGCCCGCCCACCAGAGCUGGGCGGAGCACAAGCCCGACUGCAUUCGACACCUCAAGGCUAACGCCGAGAAGACGCUGUCCCUUGCCGCGAAGAUGGAGAAUGCCAUGGCUGAUUAGCGGGUCGGCAAGCGUGUUGUUGGGGGCUGUGAGCAACCGGAAUGUCCUAAGGACUCCGCUAACUUGCAAAUCAGAGAGUCCUUGUUGCCCGUUUGUGAUCCGCUUAGCUGUGAUCACAUGUACCUCCCGGACGAGUUUCGUAACGUGGAGAACAUGUUGGGACGGCAGUUCACCUUUGACGCUGCUUGUAACAACUCUGGCGACAAUAGUCUUUGUACACGCUUUGCCUCCCCUUCAAAUUCGUUCUUGACCUCCGAUGUCUCUGGCGAGUUUGUCUGGGCAAAUCCCCCAUACACAAAAAUUGAACUUUGGCAUAAGCAUUACCUGCGCUGCAAGCGUAUGCGUCCCGAAACCACUUCAGCGGUUUUUGUAGUACCGAAAUGGUCUCAAAUUGAAAGACGCAUGCGAGCGGCAGGACACCAGCUGCUAAAAACAUAUGCCGUAGGGACGAAACUGUUCUUAGAGAAAGCAGACGAUGGUAGUCGUCAGGAAAUGCCCGGUAUCCCGUGGCCUAUCCAGCUUUGGUAUGACCCGCCAGCUAAAGAGGUUCAGCUGAACAGUAUUGGCUCCUCACAGUCCAUGAUUUUUGGCGCAUUCUUAUGCCAAACGCCUUGCAGCGCACUUAUCGAUUCCGGUGCUGACUGCAAGGGCACGGCUGAUGGAUUCAUCUCCUCCGAGGCAGCUCGCAGAAUGGGGCUCGCUAUUCGGCCGUGUUCAACUUCUUCGGUUCGCGUCGUGAACGGAUCCUCCGAGCUCAUUGAGGGCUUGAUACACGCCAAGUUGCGGAUAGCAUCUUUUCAUGACACAGUCAAACUGCUCGUGCUAAAGCAAGCUAACGCCGGAGUCGAACUUAUACUUGGCGCGGAUUGGCUUGUGCGCCGCAAAGCGCGGAUGUGCUUCCAAACGCGGACGCUUACGCUCCACAAGUCGCCCACAGACAGUUGGACGCUCAAGCCUUCCUUUUGGUCUUCGGACAAUAAUGCUGAAAAUCACCUUGAUGGUAUCACUAUCAUGAACUACGUCACCGCGACACUCUAUGCGGCGACGACAGUUGAAACGAUGUUGGCUAAAGCAGCGGCACGUAAAAUAGCAAAAGGAGCACGUAGCUAUCUUUUGUUAGUACAAUCUGAGCUGGAACAGGAAACAAAGGCCAAAGGCACACACACAAAUAUGGCCGAACUUAUUCCUGACAAUACUUUAAAGGGUUUGCUUGACGAAUACAAAGAUGUAUUUGAAGAGCUUAACGGCCUUCCGCCUGAUCGCGACAUUGGCCACACAAUUCCGCUCAUCGACGGAGCCGUACCGCCAGCAAAACGAUCGUACCGGUUGACUCAAUUAGAGCAACAAGAGAUGCGUAAACAAGUUACAGAGCUUUUGCAGAAAGGUUACAUUGAACCUUCUGCGUCGCCUUAUGGCGCACCCGUCAUCUUUGUGGAAAAAGCUAACGGGCAAGGCCUGCGUAUGGUCCUUGAUUAUCGAGCUCUGAAUAAACUUACGAUCAAGAGACGGUAUCCAAUGCCAAACAUUACCGAACUCUUCGAUCAGCUCCAAGGGGCUAACCUUUUCAGCUCCCUGGAUCUGCAGCAGGGGUAUAACCAAAUUCGCAUCUCGAAAGAAGAUAUUGAGAAAACGGCCUUCAUAGCACCGGGGCUCGGCCAGUAUCAAUUCAAAGUCCUAUGGCUUGGACUAACCAAUGCUCCUGCAACGUUCCAAGCAGUAAUGAACCGUAUAUUUGCUGCGUACAUUGGCAAAUUCGUGCUAGUGUACUUGGACGAUAUUUUGGUCUUCAGUAAGACCCCCGCCGAGCAUGAACAACACAUCCGUACCGUGUUGUCCUUGCUAAGAGAGCACCAAUUUAAAACAAAAAUAUCGAAAUGCCAGUUCAACCAGACCGAGCUGCAUUUCCUGGGUCACGUCGUCAGCCGAGAGGGGCUGAAAGUGGACGAGCGUAAGGUCAAAACCAUUAAAGAAUGGCCGAUACCGACAGACUUGCAAAAGCUGCGUUCGUUCCUUGGCUUAGCCAAUUAUUUUCGAAGAUUUAUCCAAGGAUAUUCUUCUCUCGUGGCCCCCCUCACGUCACUCACCAGUGCGAAGGUGCCCUACCACUGGACGAAGGACUGUCAAGGCUCCUUCGAGGGCGUGAAGUCUGCCUUAACCAACGCACCAGUAUUAAAACUCCCUGAACUAGACAAACCCUUCACUGUCUGGUCCGAUGCGUCGUUACACGGCACGGGCGCCGUACUUUUACAGAACGACCGCCCAGUCGCGUACACAAGCUCUAAAUUCAGCAGAGCUGAGUACAACUACACGACCACGGACCAAGAGUGUUUAGGAACUGUCCUAGCACUUGAAGAGUGGCGCUGUUACCUCGAGGGUGCAUCGGAUGUCACUUUAGUCACCAAUCACCAACCGCUGGUCUAUUUGCAAGAUCAGCAAAGCGCCGAUAAACUCUCUCGACGACAAGCUCGUUGGUUGGAACGCCUCUCACGUUUCGACUUUAAAUGGGAGUACCGACCCGGACGAAUCAACGUUGCUGACCCUCUCAGUCGGGUUCACGACGUGGUGCUGAACGUGCUUACGGCAUCGCUGAUUGGCAGCGAUAUUGGGCGCCGAAUCCUAAGCGGGUACGACGGCGAUCCCAUGCUCAAGAAGAGCUCGGUAGCAAAACUGCAGCUUAAACGGAAAGACGGCUUCUGGUAUUACGGUUCCCAGUUGUACGUUCCGGAUGUGCUUGACUUGCGAAAGGACAUCAUCCACGAAAAUCACGAUGUUCCUUACGCUGGCCACCGCGGCAUUGACCGCACCAAAAAAGCGAUCGCGAAACAUUUUUGGUGGCCCGGGUUGGAUACUAACGUGAAGGCCUACGUUAGUACCUGCCCUUCUUGUCAGCGCAAUAAGGCUUCAAAUCAAAAGCCAGGCGGACUGCUGCAGCCCCUUCCCAUUCCAGAUAACGUUUGGGAUAGUGUGUCAAUGGAUUUGGUCACACAGCUACCCACAACCCGCAAUGGGCAUGACGCGAUAGUAGUGUUCGUGGACCGCCUGAGCAAGAUGACGCACUUCACUCCCACAACCACAUCCGUCGGUGCGGAAGAUCUAGCCCGCCUCUUUGUGGCUACGGUUUUCAAACAGCACGGCCUUCCACAGAAUAUUGUGUCUGACCGGGACACACGCUUUACAAGCAACUUUUGGAAGGAAACAUUUCGCCUGCUAGGCACCCACCUCUAUAUGAGCACAGCCUACCAUCCGCAGACUGAUGGUCAAACCGAGCGAAGGAAUCGCUUACUGGAAGAGACACUGAGGCACUAUAUUUCGCCCACUCAGGAUGAUUGGGACGAACACCUGCCACUCAUCGAGUUUGCUAUUAAUAACUCGAGGCAGAGCUCAACGGGUGCCACCCCGUUUAGCCUUAAUGGUAUCAAGCAGCCACGUGUGCCGGUUGACUUGCACCUAAAAACCAAAGUGCCUGCCGCUGACCUCUAUCCCAAGGUCAUGCGCAAACGUAUUGAAAACGCAAAACAGUGUCUUAAGGCUGCUCAAUCCCGCCAGUGCAUUGUCGUCGACAAGCAUCGGCGUGCGGUGCGUUUUGAGGUUGGGGACUCCGUGCUGCUCAGCACCCGCAACAUCCAGUUGAAAUCUCCUGGAGCAAAGAAAUUAUUGCCUAAGUUUAUUGGGCCAUAUAAGGUUGUCGCCCGAGUGGGAGAGAACGCGGUAAAAUUGGGAUUACCCGCGACUUCCCGACUCCAUCCGGUCUUCCACGUAUCCUUGCUCAAACCAUUCAAGGACGAUGGAACACGACAACCGCCGCCCCCGUUCAUAAUUGACGAAGAGCCAUAUUACAUGGUUGAGGCACUACUUGACCAUCGUGAUGUGAAAAUCCGAGGUGGAACCGGCAAAAUACGUCGAGAAUAUCUGGUUAAAUGGGAAGGCUAUGACUCCAGUCAUAACACCUAUGAACCGGAAGAUUCCCUGCGUCAGUCCGUUCCCUUGGCUGAAGCUAUUGACGACUAUGAACGACGGUUGGCGGCAAAGUCCGGGCAACCUACACCAAAAAGGAAAGUGGUCCUGACCACCCCUCCUUCGGUAGCACCCCGGAACAUUACCCCAGAACAACCGAAACGGAAAGCACCUGCUCGCAAGAAAAGGUGAUGCUCCCGGGACGGUUCGCUUCUGAGGGGGAGGGAUGUAGCAAGCUACAUUUACCUUAGAAUAUCUUUAAGCUAUUAAAGCUUAAUCACAGUAACGGUACGGUCCCGUAUUUACGAACCAUACUCGUUAACUGUACGAACUCACUUUCUGGUACGCUAUCACAACCUAGCGUACGACACCAAGACUCCAGGAAUGGAGAUGGCGGCAGGUGGGCCGCAUUUAAGCCACCCAGGUGAAGUGCUUCGGCCAGACACUUAACGUAUCACUAUACUAGUGUUCAGGGUUCAAGACCUUGCUGUCACCGUUCUCGAUGUAUGUCUUCGAAUCCCGACUUCCCUUGUCUCUUCUCACGCCUAAUGCUGGGUCGCCAAUCGUGGACGACACCCUCUGCUUCCGCUAAAACAGCUAAGGUAAGAGACGGCUGUUACAUUUUGGUAUCGAGACCUCGUGUAAAAUCACGAUCCAGAAGUCGUCGGUUCAACCCCCACCGAUCACGUUCGAGUGGUAUUUCGGGUGUGGCGACUCAGUGAGCGAAUAUCGCACCAAACUAUAAAAGUAGCUGAACCGACUGGACUGUCUCUGUGCCUGAAAAACCUGAAGGCUAGGCGCAUGAAGGGCGGCAUGACGUGACGUGGGCUUGGCCACCCCACUGCCCGAGGGUAGGCGAAGGUAGGCACAGGCUGGCGGUAUACGAGGCUCGCUCUAAGGGCCCGAGACGGUUCCCUUCAAAGGGGGGGGAAUGUAGCAGCCGGUACACAGUACGGCGCUAUAAAUACGCGCAGAGCGCGACCGCCAGCAACUCGAGUGACCUUUUCAGCGGUCAGCUGCUACACUACCCAGGUAUUUCAGGGCACCCUCAUCCAGUCACCCUAGCCGUCUUCUCAGUGAAUCACUCGGGUACAUCUCAGGAGUGCUCCCACCACCGUCAUCCAACGACAUGUACAUCUGCAAACUUAAUGGCGGCUGGAGUCCAUUCCUGGUCAGCUCUCAUGUCAACAUUAUCCCAGGCCGUUACUGUUCAUCAAAUAGCGGCACUCUUACCUUCCACCAUCGGUAAAACGUUUUACCUUGACUGGUGGCAAUCCUGGAACCUCCGGAAGCGUCAGUGUAUACACACAUGUGUUACCAAUGCUGCCUGCUAAGUUCAUGACCUAUGUAUAUAUGUAUAUGUACGACACACCAG
rnacentral:lncRNA from 1 species